GAGCACAUCACAGUUCAACACCGUUUCCUGUACGAUCACUGAAGUUAAGCAACGUUGAGCCUGAUCGGUACCUAGAUGGGUGAACGCUUGGAAACACCGGGUGGUGUAA